AUCGCUUCUCGGCUCUCUGAGCUAAGAUCAUGUGUAGUAUCUGUUCUUUGCAGUGUAAUUUCUGCAACGGUCUCUAAACUGAGACCAAUGAAAUUACCUGUAUUUUUCACCUCCGGACGGGUGCUGUGAGCUUGCUCAACCCCGUCCACGGGUCGGCCUCGUAUUGCAUUACCUCGAGGAUUGGCCCAUUAAUC
rnacentral:snRNA from 1 species